GUACUUACCUGGCAGGGGAGACACUGUGAUCAGGCAGGUGGCUUUCCCAGGGGGAGGCUCACCCUUUGUACUUCAAGUGUGCUGACCCCUAUGAUUUCCCCACAUGUGGGAAACUCAACUGCAUCAUUUGUGGUAGUGGUGGUCUGUGUUUGUGCUAAAAAUAA